UACGGAGGGUGCAAACGUUGCUCGGAAUCAUUGGGCGUAAAGCGCACGUAGGCGGCCUGAUAAGUCGGGUGUGAAAGCCCUGGGCUCAACCCAGGAAGUGCACUCGAAACUGUCAGGCUUGAAUAUGGAAGAGGGUCGCGGAAUUCCCGGUGUAGAGGUGAAAUUCGUAGAUAUCGGGAGGAACACCAGUGGCGAAGGCGGCUACCUGGCCUAAUACUGACACUGAGGAACGAAAGCGUGGGGAGCAAACAGG
rnacentral:rRNA from 1 species